rnacentral:misc_RNA from 1 species
AAAAAAAGGGCUUGUCAAAGGGAUCAAAGCUCAAAAGGUUUUGGCACUUCAAGAUUUAUAAUGAAGCAAGAAAGAAGAGUAAUUCAAGUUUAAUUAGCACAAAUGACCUAAAAUUAGGAACCUUUCAGAAUAAUGAACAAAAACAUAUGGCUAGUCCGAUAUUUUAGAAAUUCAGAAUUAAACCAAGACAACUUUUAGUUUUUGGAGCUUUGGAACUAAGGAGACUAAACGUAAUAAAAUUUGUAACAUAAGAUCAUGAAAGAUUUAUAAGGCCAGUAAAUGCUAAUGAAAAAGAAAAAGAAUUCAACGACAGUGAAGAAUAAGAACCGGGAACAUUUUCAGUGCCCUACCAUUAGAUUGUACAAACUCCUUAGACUAUCUCUCACAGUUCAUAAUUCCUAUAAAGAAAACACUUACAUGAAUCAAAUAUACUUGCUCUCAAUAGGCCUAAAAAAACUAUGACAUUUCACUUGAUCCUCUUCUCGCACAGACUAUUAUCUGACCAAAGUGUCAGAGCCAAAUACAG